rnacentral:rRNA from 1 species
UACGUAGGGUGCAAGCGUUAUCCGGAAUUAUUGGGCGUAAAGAGCUCGUAGGCGGUUUGUCGCGUCUGCUGUGAAAACUGGAGGCUCAACCUCCAGCCUGCAGUGGGUACGGGCAAACUAGAGUGGCGGUAGGGGAGAUUGGAAUUCCUGGUGUAGCGGUGGAAUGCGCAGAUAUCAGGAGGAACACCGAUGGCGAAGGCAGAUCUCUGGGCCGUAACUGACGCUGAGGAGCGAAAGCGUGGGGAGCGAACAGG